AUCUCCGUCUGCUCGGAAAGUGUUGAGACUGAUGCAGAAUCCACGUCAGAGCGAGGCCGGCCUGUCAUGUAAACAGGACAUCAGUGGAAGGAGGAGAGCAGAAGAUGUAACCAGGUAAGGAAACUGUGACACAUGGGGGAGAGAACACGGAGGCGAAGACAGAAGUCACACCUCUAACCUCUGGAAGACAAAAAGCCACCCAAGGCCUAAUUUACGAUGGGACUCGUGCAGUGCUUUCUGAUUUCAUGCUCGACCUUGAUGGCGCUCAGCUUUCCACCGAGAGAGGUGACCCAAUAUCACAUUAUAAACCGAAGGAGUUGUAAAAUGUGUCCUGCAGGUGAGUAUCAGAAGACGUGCACAGAGUGCGCGCCCUGUCCCGCAGGAAGUUACACCACGCGCCAGAACCGGGAAGACAGAUGCAGCAGCUGCUCUAGAGACUGCAGACCAAAUUUUCACCUGAAGGUGAUUCAGAACUGCACGGACAAGUCAGAUGUAAAGUGCGUGUGCGAGGAGGGUUACAUGUGCACGCAGGAGGUGCCUUUCUCGGCUAACUGUCGAUACUGCGAAAGGAUCCCGGAGAAGGACACUGUUGAGGCUGCGACCAUCCUCUCAGAGAACCAUAGAAAAGAAACUCCCACAUCCUUCUCAGGACGCAACAGAGCUGCUGGGGAACUCUGCAAUUCACACAAGUGCGGCCCACAGUCUUUUCUGGCGACACAAAAUGACACAAAUUCCCAAACGGAUAAGAUGAAUGGUCUGCUUCCCUCCACGGUAACGUUUCUAUUUGCUGGGGCAUUUGUGGCUCUCGUGGUUCUGGGUUACAUUGGUCGACUUCAAAUCCAAUCCUGCUUCAAGAGGGCUGUUGCAGUGCUUAUGCUGUGUAAUAAGGGAGGUCGAAAAGCUCCUUGCAAGUUAAAGGAGUCAACUCAUCACUUCCCCCGAGACUCUUUCAGUGCGCAGCAGCAGCCGCUGCCCCUUCCUGCAGCCAAUCUGGGUCCAGUUCACGUCCAUAAUCCAGGAACGAUCAUCUUCAGUUUGCUGAGUCAGUUUACGGGUCAGGUUGGCCCGACCAUUGAAGACAGGAGUACAGCCGAGAGGGAGACAGGAGACGAGAGAGACUGUCCCGUGUUCCAGCCUGCACCUUCUCCCAGUAUUCACAUCUCCGAGGAGGAGAGGAGCCGAGAGAGCGACAGCAUUUUCUUCCCUUUUCAGGAACAAGGAAAGGACUGCCACAUUUCCAAAGAGGAAGUCCUGUGAGGCAUCUCUCAAAAAUGUAACACUGAUGGCUAGAUCUGCUGGAGGACAGGAAGGAAGGAAGGAAGCAGGGAACACUACAAUAACCUCAAUCGCUGUCUGGCAAACUGUGAAUCACAGUAUUCAGAGGAAAUAUUUUUACCUGCAGGUUCUGGGAAAACUUGUCUGUACACACCAGAAACCAAAGACAAACAGAAGAAGACAAACUAUGAGAUUGUUUUCCUUGUAGGAUACGCGAUGUAAUUAAAAGUUUAAAGCUCACUUUGUUCCGAAUAAACACAAGACUUUUAAGGUAAAUGUAUUUUUAAUAAAACGUUGGUAAAAAUGCAUGAGUUCACAUCUGGCUCAGGACUAUAUACAGUAUCUACACAGACAUUGGACACGCAGUCAGAUCCCUGACUCCUUGGGCAAGACCAGCCAUUCUCUUUUUAAGUGGCCUCCGUGGGAUAAUAUAUUAGUCUUAAACAUUUGGCUGCUCUGCAGCAACAGAUCUGGAAUAAACUCUCACAACGUGACCGAUGAAAGAAAGAGAAAGAAAUCCAUUUUUUCCAUCUCGACCUCAGCAGAGUCAGAUUUCCCUGAGUGCUUUGAACCCUGGGAGGGAGUCUCUCGCGUUGGUGGUCACGUCUGUGGACUCCACAGUCCAGACAGUCUCACCGGUGGUUUCCACAGCGAUGACGGCGUCAGGUGUCGAACCAUCCCGAUGCUGAGCAACAGAACCCCACGGUUCCAACCUCGUGCACAGCAGUUCUCCUGCUCUGCUCCAUAUUUACAGUGUCUCUCCUAUGUUUUUGUCCACUCGCUCUUCUGGAAAUCAGGUUUCCAACUUCUUGUUCACAGUUCUUGCUGCCUCCAGCUGUUUGGAUUAGGACACACUUGCGGCCAGAUGUCCAUGAGUGAUGCCAAAGGUGCAUCUUUGUAAUCCAGCUCAAGGAUCUAUUUCGAUUUUAGCAAAAUUCCCAGCUUCCUGCACAGGCUUUGUUACUUCCUCAUCAUCGGAGCACGGUGACACCGGCUCAUGUGUUUUAGCCAACAGGUAACCUGGGGGCAGGUUGACAGAAACUUGCAUCACUUAUCUCCCGUACACUCCCAUCUAUACAUUUUGGCACAGUUAUGCUACAGAUCUACUCACCACAUUUGGAUGUGAUCCACUGCUGACCUGCUUUUUUUUUCAAGACAACACACACUGCAACUGUUAUCAACAGAAAAGCAGCCAUUUGCAUUAGCCACAGCGUAUCUGUAGACGUGUGCAAAAGAGAUAUUUUAGUAACGCGUAAACACCUUAAACACGUCUUUUUUAUGGCUGCACAGGAAGCGCAGCGCACUUUACCUUUGCUUGUUUCCACGGUGAUGACAGUGACAGGUGUUACAGGGGGUGGGGGUCUGGUGGUCGGCGACACCGGCCGACACUGCGUGCAGGGCCGGUCUGUGCAUUCAUAGCCCGGUUUACAUUUGCACACAGAGUCAUGGGUGGCGUUGCAGUGUGACUUGUACUCCAUGUUUGCUGGGGGGGGAGUGAAGGAACAGUUAAACAUUUCAUAAAUCAGAAACUGCGUCAGUUUCACUGAUACUACCUAGUAUAAGUCAUAAGUUACUGAUGACUGUGGAUGUGUGGACUUACUGAAAGCUUGAUUUCAUUUUGACCUAACGCUUCAUUACUUACAUGCGAUUGGAUGUGAAUUCAACAAACAAACUACACAUAUGAGCCCGCUGGACCCUGCAGGCAUCACAGAACAUUGGUUUCCAUUACCUGCAGAAAUGUUGCGCAACAACCACAUUGCAGUCUAUCCGUGUUAAAGCUUGUUUUCUUUCUUAGGUUCAUUUGGGGGGCAAAAAUUUAGCUAAUAUAGAGCUGAAUGGUCUGUGGUCUCACAUCGCAACUCUUGGAUAAUCUACCCAAGCUCGUAAUGUGGUCUGUGGCCUGGCCCCUCCAAAGAGAGAUACCGUUUAAUUUCAAGAGCAAGCGUGAAAUGUUUAUGUGGGCAAACCUUUUCCACAUGUUAGUUUCCAUGCUAGUUAAGUGAAGCCCCUGCUUCGACAUUGGCCGAAGGGAUUUUGACAGUUUUAACACCCACGUUAAUUCCUCCCAAUGUUUGCCUGACUCUAGAGCCGUUUGCAGACAGAAAUGGGCAAACCGCCACCAAGUUUUCUCGUAUUUGGUUCCCACGCUGACAUUUAAAAAAAAAAUUAAAAAAUAAAAACCAGACGAGGCUGUUUUUGGCUCGCCUGUCGUAGCACAGGAACCCAAGAAGCGGGCAUGACAUUUCUAUCUGCUGCUCUUUGCUCUGCUGUUGGGUUGGUUUCUUCUAACCUUUUUCUCUGUUUUUCUUUUACUUUUUCCACUGACUUGACUUCAACUUGCACCGCGGUCGUCUUGUUUUGACAGACCACUUUCAACCCUAGUCUCUACCCCCCCCCCACCCUUUGAACGUAUCUCUUUCUCUCUGAGUGCUAACAAACCCUGACAAACAAAAUGGAAAAAUCCCCUUCAAUGCUUGAGCUGCAGGUUUCUUCAUCUACGAGCAAAGAUGAGUAACGAGACAAAGAUCGCCACGAUUUUGUGCACGACCUGGACAAGGUUGGGGGUCGUGCAGAGAGAAAUGACUGUCACGAUCAAAGACUAAAUCACCCCUCCAUGACACUAGCAAUGAGUCACAAUUAGGGAACUAAACUGACAGUGUGUGUCUGUGUGUGUCUCCUCUGUGGAUUCUAUAUUAGAGAUUAAUUAAAGCCUUGACACAAUCUUUCAAAUGUACACAAUUGAUAAUGUUACUGUAGGAUGUUGCUAACGCCUGCAGAAAAGCUGAAAGGACUCACAUGCACUGCAGCUUCCACAAAAGUCGCAGCUCCACUCCAUGUUGUACGUCUGAAUGUAGCGCUGAUCCUCGCACGGCUUGCACUUAGUCGGAGAGGAGGCAGUACAGUGCUGAACCACAUAGUGACCUGGGAACACACAUGAAUCCACAUUUGGCUUUUAGUUCAGCAUCAUAACCUUUGCAGUGCACGUUUGUGUUUGUGUGUCCGGUUCUGUGGGGGUGGGUUUGUGUGGCGGGUGUCGCCGUACCUGGCCGACACUUGUUACAGCAGCUUUGUUCACCAUGACUGCUGCGAUAUUGUGUUUCAUUGCACCCUAAGGAACGCAGCAAAGGUGCGAAACACAGGGUGCACGAGAAAGUGAUUGCAAGGUAGCAGAGCUGCUGCAUCUGAGGAGAGAACAGAGGGCGAAGACGAGAGAAUAAGGAGGGAAACCCGGCAGACACAAUAAAGGACUGUGGUGAUGAAGCUCAGUCACGUUUCUGCAGAAGUUCAAAAGAAACACACAAACGUGCGCUCGGGGUUUCUGCUGUAAUUUAACCCUUAAAAUAACCAAAGUAGACUUACAAUAAUUUACACAAUCAAUGUUCCACAUGACAGGACAUUUAUCUUACUAAUCAAAAUGGUUUCUUUGGUUCUGACCUACCAUGGACGAGGAGGCAGAAGAAGCUGUUUCCCGGGACCCACCGAGUGUGAGACUGAACAGGGGACCAGAAGUCUGUCAAGGGGACGAUUCAUAAAGUCUGAUUACUCAUAAUGAAAGACCCACAUUUAUGGUGGGUUUUUCUAAUCUCUCUGCUC
ensembl:lncRNA